rnacentral:rRNA from 1 species
UUCCUACGGGAGGCAGCAGUGGGGAAUCUUGCGCAAUGGGCGAAAGCCUGACGCAGCAACGCCGCGUGUGUGAUGAAGGUCUUCGGAUCGUAAAGCACUGUCGGGAGGGACGAAUAAGGGCCGGGUGAACAAUCCGGUUCGACGACGGUACCUCCAGAGGAAGCACCGGCUAACUCUGUGCCAGCAGCCGCGGUAAUACAGAGGGUGCUAGCGUUGUUCGGAAUUAUUGGGCGUAAAGCGCGUGUAGGCGGCCGGCCAAGUCGGAUGUGAAAGCCCUCGGCUUAACCGAGGAAGUGCGUUCGAUACUAGCUGGCUUGAGUACCGGAGAGGGUGGUGGAAUUCCCGGUGUAGAGGUGAAAUUCGUAGAUAUCGGGAGGAACACCAGCGGCGAAGGCGACCACCUGGACGGAUACUGACGCUGAGACGCGAAAGCGUGGGGAGCAAACAGGAUUAGAUACCCUAGUAGUCCU